rnacentral:rRNA from 1 species
CAAGUGGUGGAGCAUGUGGUUUAAUUCGAUGAUACGCGAGGAACCUUACCUAGGCUAGAAUGCGCGUGACCGGCUCAGAGAUGAGCUUUUCCUUCGGGACACAAAGCAAGGUGCUGCAUGGCCGUCGUCAGCUCGUGCCGUGAGGUGUUGGGUUAAGUCCCGCAACGAGCGCAACCCCUAUGUUUAGUUGCCAGCAUGUAAUGAUGGGGACUCUAGACAGACUGCCUGCGCAAGCAGUGAGGAAGGCGGGGACGACGUCAGGUCAUCAUGGCCCUUACGCCUAGGGCGACACACGUGCUACAAUGGACGGUACAGCGGGUAGCUACUGGGCGACCAGAUGCCAAUCUCGAAAAGCCGUUCUCAGUUCGGAUCGGAGUCUGCAACUCGACUCCGUGAAGCUGGAAUCACUAGUAAUCGCGCAUCAGCCAUGGCGCGGUGAAUACGUUCCCGGGCCUUGUACACACC